rnacentral:rRNA from 1 species
UGGGGAAUCUUGCACAAUGGGGGAAACCCUGAUGCAGCGACGCCGCGUGAGCGAUGAAGCCCUUCGGGGUGUAAAGCUCUUUCGGCAGGAACGAUAAUGACGGUACCUGCAGAAGAAGCUGCGGCUAACUACGUGCCAGCAGCCGCGGUAAUACGUAGGCAGCAAGCGUUGUUCGGAGUUACUGGGCGUAAAGAGUGCGUAGGUGGUUCUCUAAGUUCGGUGUGAAAUCUCCCGGCUCAACUGGGAGGGUGCGCCGAAAACUGGAGAGCUUGAGUAUGGGAGAGGAGAGCGGAAUUCCUGGUGUAGCGGUGAAAUGCGUAGAUAUCAGGAGGAACACCUGUGGUGCAGACGGCUCUCUGGACCAUUACUGACACUGAGGCACGAAAGCGUGGGGAGCAAACA